CUUUCGGUCAAGUCUGGGUGGAGGUGGGCGGCGACUUGGUUGUGGAGGGCUGAAGCCUGAAGGUGCUGGGGCUGACGAGCUCCUGCCACUGUAUGUGGAUUGAGCUGGAUGGGCACUGGGGUGAUUUGGGGAUCUGGCUGCUAAUGCUGCGAUAAAACGUCGUUACGAUUUUGAGUGAUCUAGGGCCGCUCAUUGUCUCUUGUGGUCGGCCCCGCAGCCACUAUUCUGAACGACCGUCACGGUUAUCCGCAACACACCCAUCUGCUGCACAUCUUUAUAUGUAUGUAACCUACGGAGAAUAGGAACAAUCACUACAGAGCCUGAAGAUUGUUUUUAUUUCUUUCAUUGUCUUUCACCGAUCUAUCAUUAUUUCAUUUGUCCAUGUAGAUUUAGAUAACAUGAGAUGAGCUGAUGAUACGUGCUACUAUUUGAAGACACGAUUAUCUACUGCAGAAUUGUUGAUGUAUUUGUGCUGACAGGUUAUGCAGUACUUGAAACACUUUAAUUAGAGGAAUUAGAGUUACAAAGUUCUGACUCGGUUCAUGGGGCAAUCUGAAAGAGAACUUGGUGAUGUCAAGUAAUUCUAAGAGCAUAGGCAUUAUCCUUUUUUUAAAUAAUGGUAAGAGCAUAGAUCCCAUCGACCAGGAAUUAAUCCAUCAGGCAAGCAGAAGACUGAACGAAACAGUACCUUCAUAUAUUAUUUCCAAGACCAUUAAUGUUGUUUUCUUUACUGUAAGGAACCAGCUUAAGGCCUUUAUGCAUUGAACGAACUACCAAGAUUUUUCUAUCUUCAUGUAUGAUCCAUCUUGCAUAGACACAUGCGUAGCAAUGGGAUACUAUUUGGUAUGAACAACAUCAUUAUCUUGCAAUUCUAACAUGUAUGCAUUUAACUUAUUUACACACAUAAUAGUGAUGCAUCUUGCGUAUCUGCUUAUUGUAUCUGAAUCUUCAAUGCAAUUAACUGCUUAAUUAGACAGCAGCAGGAUUGAGCGAUCUGGCAUAUAAGCUUUGCUCAGUGGUUCAGAUUAUCACUGUUAGUCUUCUGGUCUUGUCAAGUUUUUAGACUUCUUGAGGUCGCUCAACCAAUCUGGCGUAAAGCUAUGAAGAGAUUUUGCUUGGAAAGAUUACUGAAAGGAUACCUUCACUUCAUUUUAUCCCCUAGAUUAGUAUAAGUAUAUAUUAAGCCCCCGUUUAUUUAGAUGUAUAGCUUGCAUGGCAGUCUUGUUUAAACAGAUUUUUGGGGCAUUAAGCAAUGCAUACUCUGCUCACCAUUUUUCUCAUGUGUGUUGUUAGCCAAGCACUUGCUUUUCAAGAUAUCCUUUCCGAUGUUAGGCUGGGCUGCGUGAUUCGUCGAUGUCUGCUCAAUACAGUUGUGGUGAUCCCGGUGACGAGGACAUUAGGGACAUCGGCCCGGCGGAGUCUGGUGAGUCAGCUAUGAAGCCAAAUCCGCAGUCACCAGGGACCAGGGUGGAUCGAGAGAGUUCUUGUGGGAGCGAAUCCUACAGAGCGAACCCUAUGCCCCGUUAGUAUGGGUACUCUUGAGAAGUCCAUAAGGGCUUUCACAGAGGCAUGUAGAAGAGGUCGUCAAGCCGGAGUUGGGCACCACAUUUGCCUCGCUGACAGAGGCAUACGUCUUUUACAACCUGUAUUAGUGGGAAAAUGGGUUUAGUAUCAGGCAUGGGAAGAGCCGAUUGAAUCCCGACAAGCGGAAGACCAUGCAAGAGACUGUUUGUGGUUGCUCAGGGGAGGCUUUGCGUGAGAAUACAAGGUUGUGCCGCUGUGAGUGUCCUGCGAUGAUAAGGCUGCUACGGACAUCAGAUAAUGGGUGGUAUACAAUGGAGCACCGGGUAAAGCAUAACAUUGUUAUGAUGCCAAUGUAGAGAGAUGUUGCACUGGCCAUCGCACACGCACAUUGAUGUGUACACGAGCGGGGUGCGGGACUGAUCUAAACAAGAGAAGCAAGAUUGGACAGAGGGGGCAAUGGGGCAGUGGGAAUCAUUCGUGGUUGCGUAUUACAGUGGCGGUGGGCUGGAUGACGAUUGCAGUAGGGAUAGCGCCCCGCGGAGUCCGAAGAGUCUGCACUGAAACCAAAUUCGAGAGCACACGGUAGACUAAGAGGUAUUGGAUAACUUAGCAGAAUAUGUGUUUUGUCUGACAAUACUGAGGUUAGGGUGUGUCUUCAGUGGAAGGAAACUGAAAAAGAGAUCCUAAAAGGUUGUAGAGUUAGGAGUGGCUGUCAUUUGUGAUUUUUGUUCAAAAAAAACCAAGGAUCUAUUGUGGAGUGUGAGAAAACAAAUUAUUUUUAUUUCAUGUAAUUUAUGACCUCAAA